GCCCAAGAAGAGCAAAUAAGGUUGACUUACUGAGAAAUGAGGACCAAACCAAAUUCUCUUCUGCCUCUAUUUCUCUAGGAAGCUCUUCUUGAUCUUCAUCAAGGAUGCCCAAAGUGCAAAAAAAUACCUGGAAGAAAUGGAACGGCACCUUCACAUUUUCCUCCUCUCAGUAUCUCUCAAGUAUAAAAUUAAACACUCAGAAGAGUCAGGCCAACCAUCCGAUAA
rnacentral:lncRNA from 1 species